rnacentral:tRNA from 1 species
GAUAAAAUGGCUGAAGUAGGUAGGCGAUAGAUUGUAAAUCUAUUUAUGAAGGGAAUUCUUUUAUCA